rnacentral:tRNA from 1 species
AGGGCCUUAGUUUAGUAAAAACGUCUGAUUUGCAGUCAGGAAAUGCGAGUUAGUUUCUUGUAGGUCUUA